CAUGUGUUGUAAAAGGAUGUGGCUGGGCUAACCCAUCCCAAUUUGCCAAACCCUUGAAUUGGGCUUGCAUGUCAUUUCAGAGGCAGUUAAAAGUCAUCCACAUUGCUAUGGAUCCGGAGUCACGUAUGCCACACCAGGAUGUUAAGCGCUCCAGGAAGUGGAGACUAGGGAGGUGGCUUCCCAGGUCUCAGUGAUUGGAUCAGAAGGGACUACAAGAGGCUGCUCUCUGCAAUGUUUGUUCUUUUUCCGGUUGGGCGCUGCCCGGACCGGAGGAGAUUGGUCUCUACCUUUCUCCCUUUUCUCUAAGGGAUGCCAUUUGGUGACCCACUUGUUCUUGCUUGCAGUAGUUAACUUUUGUAGUUUUAUGGACAAAAAUAGCCCUGCUUCCAGCGGCAGGGAACGCUAGCAUCUUUGAUGCAAGUGUGCAGAAUGGAAUGUCCAGAGAUGAGCAUCUAGAUUGGAUCCAUCUGGAAUGCUGAGGGCGGGCAGUUGAAGACGAUGAGAAAUUGUCUGAUUCGUCGGCCUUGGAAUAGAGCUCUCAAAGCAACGAAACAAAUGACCACACAACCAAAGCAAAGCAAAGACAAAAAUGAUUACUUUUUCUAUUUUAGUUUGUUUUUUUAGUUUAUUUUUUCGCUUCAGGUUGUCUGUGUUGCUUGGUUCGGUGGGUUGAGAGGCGCCAACCGAUAAAGUCAAAUGCCUCAUUUUAAGGCUGUACGCAUAAUUUCACGUCAAUGUAAAACUUAAUAAAAAAAAAAAGCAAAACAUCUAAA